AGUGAACGCUGGCGGUAGGCCUAACACAUGCAAGUCGAACGGCAGCACAGUAAGAGCUUGCUCUUACGGGUGGCGAGUGGCAGACGGGUGAGGAAUACAUCGGAAUCUACUUUUUCGUGGGGGAUAACGUAGGGAAACUUACGCUAAUACCGCAUACGACCUACGGGUGAAAGCAGGGGAUCUUCGGACCUUGCGCGAUUGAAUGAGCCGAUGUCGGAUUAGCUAGCUGGCGGGGUAAAGGCCCACCAAGGCGACGAUCCGUAGCUGGUCUGAGAGGAUGAUCAGCCACACUGGAACUGAGACACGGUCCAGACUCCUACGGGAGGCAGCAGUGGGGAAUAUUGGACAAUGGGCGCAAGCCUGAUCCAGCCAUACCGCGUGGGUGAAGAAGGCCUUCGGGUUGUAAAGCCCUUUUGUUGGGAAAGAAAAGCAGCAGGUUAAUACCCCGCUGUUCUGACGGUACCCAAAGAAUAAGCACCGGCUAACUUCGUG
rnacentral:rRNA from 1 species